CGGCAAGAGCUCAAAUUUGAAAUCUGGCCUUCGGGUCCGAAUUGUAAUUUGGAGAGGAUGCUUCGAAUAUAGCCUGGGUUUAAGUUCCUUGGAACAGGAUGUCAUAGAGGGUGAGAAUCCCGUCUGGAGUUCGGACACGGCCUAUGUGAAGCUCCUUCGAC
rnacentral:rRNA from 1 species